rnacentral:rRNA from 1 species
GACGAACGCUGGCGGCGUGCUUAACACAUGCAAGUCGAACGGAAAGGCCCUGCUUUUGUGGGGUGCUCGAGUGGCGAACGGGUGAGUAACACGUGAGUAACCUGCCCUUGACUUUGGGAUAACUUCAGGAAACUGGGGCUAAUACCGGAUAGGAGCUCCUGCUGCAUGGUGGGGGUUGGAAAGUUUCGGCGGUUGGGGAUGGACUCGCGGCUUAUCAGCUUGUUGGUGGGGUAGUGGCUUACCAAGGCUUUGACGGGUAGCCGGCCUGAGAGGGUGACCGGCCACAAUGGGACUGAGAUACGGCCCAGACUCCUACGGGAGGCAGCAGUGGGGAAUAUUGCACAAUGGGCGGAAGCCUGAUGCAGAAACGCCGCGUGCGGGAUGACGGCCUGCGGGUUGUAAACCGCUUUCGCCUGUGACGAAGCGUGAGUGACGGUAAUGGGUAAAGAAGCACCGGCUAACUACGUG